UACGGAGGGUGCAAGCGUUAUCCGGAUUUACUGGGUUUAAAGGGUGCGUAGGUGGGUCUGUAAGUCAGUGGUGAAAUCUUCAAGCUUAACUUGGAAACUGCCAUUGAUACUAUAGGUCUUGAAUUAUCUGGAGGUAAGCGGAAUAUGUCAUGUAGCGGUGAAAUGCUUAGAUAUGACAUAGAACACCAAUUGCGAAGGCAGCUUACUACGGAUCGAUUGACACUGAGGCACGAAAGCGUGGGGAUCAAACAGG
rnacentral:rRNA from 1 species